UAUGGCCACAUCACAAUGAAAGACCAGUCCAUGCAUGAUCACUGAAGUUAAGCAACAUCAAGCCUGAUCAGUACCUAGAUGGGUGACUGCUUGGGAAUACCAGGUGCU